CGCCUCUUGAGCCUUAUAAGAGGUCCAGCCUGCCCAGUGACCAAGUUUAACGGCCGCGGUAUCCUAACCGUGCGAAGGUAGCGUAAUCACUUGUUCUUUAAAUAAGGACUAGUAUGAAUGGCAUCACGAGGGUUAUACUGUCUCCUUUUUCUAAUCAAUGAAACUGAUCUCCCCGUGAAGAAACGGGGAUAGACAUAUAAGACGAGAAGACCCUAUGGAGCUUUAGACUAUUGUAACACUGGCUUAUAUUUUUUCCAUUUCAGAAUAAUUCUAGUUAUUCUAGCCACCCUGUCUACUAGUCUUAGGUUGGGGUGACCAUGGAGUAAAAAUUAACCUCCACGAUGAACGGAGCCAUUCCUGAGCCAAAAGCUACGACUUUAAGCACUAAUAAAUUAACAUUAAUUGACCCAAUAUUUUGAUCAA
rnacentral:rRNA from 1 species